AUUGAACGCUGGCGGCAGGCUUAACACAUGCAAGUCGAGCGGAGAUGAGGUGCUUGCACCUUAUCUUAGCGGCGGACGGGUGAGUAAUGCUUAGGAAUCUGCCUAUUAGUGGGGGACAACAUUCCGAAAGGAAUGCUAAUACCGCAUACGUCCUACGGGAGAAAGCAGGGGAUCUUCGGACCUUGCGCUAAUAGAUGAGCCUAAGUCGGAUUAGCUGGUUGGUGGGGUAAAGGCCUACCGAGGCGACGAUCUGUAGCGGGUCUGAGAGGCUGAUCCGCCACACUGGGACUGAGACACGGCCCAGACUCCUACGGGAGGCAGCAGUGGGGAAUAUUGGACAAUGGGGAGAACCCUGAUCCAGCCAUGCCGCGUGUGUGAAGAAGGCCUUAUGGUUGUAAAGCACUUUAAGCGAGGAGGAGGCUACUGAGACUAAUACUCUUGGAUAGUGGACGUUACUCGCAGAAUAAGCACCGGCUAACUCUGUGCCAGCAGCCGCGGUAACAC
rnacentral:rRNA from 1 species